AUUGAACGCUGGCGGCAUGCCUUACACAUGCAAGUCGAACGGCAGCACGGGUGCUUGCACCUGGUGGCGAGUGGCGACCGGGUGAGUAAUAUAUCGGAAUGUACCUUCUUGUGGGGGAUAACGCAGCGAAAGCUGUGCUAAUACCGCAUAAUCCAUAAGGGGGAAAGCGGGGGACCGUAAGGGCUCGAGCAAUUAGAGCGGCCGAUACCUGAUUAGCUAGUUGGUGAGGUAAAGGAUCACCAAGGCGACGAUCAGUAGCUGGUCUGAGAGGACGCUCAGCCACACUGGGACUGAGACACGGACGAGACUCCUACGGGAGGCAGGAAUGGGGAAGUUUGGACAAUGGGGGCAACCCUGAUCCAGCAAUGCCGCGUGAGUGAAGAAGGCCUUCGGGUUGUAAAGCUCUUUUGUCUGGGAAGAAACAGCAGCUCUAACACAGUUUGCGAAUGACGGUACCUGAAGAAUAAGCACCGGCUAACUACGUGCCAGCAGCCGCCGUAA
rnacentral:rRNA from 1 species